CUUUGGUUCAUGUGCUUGGCUGAUAAGCCAAUGGUGCGAAGCUACCAUCUGAGGGAUUAUGACUGAACGCCUCUAAGUCAGAAUCCCGCCUGGGAAAGCGACGAUGCAUUCGUGCCUCGGCCUCGAGAGGCGUAGCUAGACGGCCGCGUGGCCGUGGAUAGAGCCCGAUUCCGACCCGAGAGGCCGCGGCAAGAGGCGGCCUCGAAGUCGGUGGAUCCUCCUGCUCGAAAGGCGGGGUGCUAAACCAUUCGCAGACGACCUAGUUGAAGAUCGGGGUGUCGUGAUCACUAGAGCAGUACAUCUCACUGCGAUUUGUUGAGAGUAAGCCUCAAGAUCUGUCGGUUUGU
rfam:Ciona savignyi cont_51369, whole genome shotgun sequence.